ensembl:snRNA U6 U6 spliceosomal RNA
GUGCUUGCUUUGGCAGCACAUUUACUAAAAUGAGAAUGAUACAGAGAAGAUUAACAAAGCCCCUGCACAAGAAUGACAAGAAAAUUUGUGAAUCGUUCCAUAUUUUU